rnacentral:rRNA from 1 species
AGCAGCCGCGGUAAUUCCAGCUCCAAUAGCGUAUAUUAAAGUUGUUGCAGUUAAAAAGCUCGUAGUUGAAUUUCGGGACCAUCAUGUCGGUCGUGCCUCGGUACGUACUGGUAUUGUUGGUUUCUCCCUUCUGACGAACCAUGAUGUCAUUUAUUUGGUGUUGUGGGGAAUCAGGACUGUUACUUUGAAAAAAUUAGAGUGUUUAAAGCAGGCUCACGCUUGAAUACAUUAGCAUGGAAUAAUGAAAUAGGCCGUUUGAUUCUAUUUUGUUGGUUUCUAGGAUCGACGUAAUGAUUAAUAGGGAUAGUUGGGGGCAUUAGUAUUCAAUUGUCAGAGGUGAAAUUCUUGGAUUUAUUGAAGACUAACUACUGCGAAAGCAUUUGCCAAGGAUGUUUUCAUUAAUCAAGAACGAAAGUUAGGGGAUCGAAGACGAUCAGAUACCGUCGUAGUCUUAACCAUAAACUAUGCCGACUAGGGAUCGGAUGAUGUUAAUUUUUUAAUGUACUCAUUCGGCGCCUUA